rnacentral:rRNA from 1 species
ACACACCAUGGAAGUGGAUUGCACCAGAAAGUAGAUAGUCUAACCUUAGGGAGGGCGUUUACCCCGGUGUGCUUCAUGACUGGGGUGAAGUCGUAACAAGGUAGCCGUAGGGGAACCUGUGGCUGGAUCACCUCCUU